rfam:Tetrahymena thermophila SB210 genomic scaffold scf_8254718, whole genome shotgun sequence.
GGCAAUUUGCCCGAGUUGGUUAAGGGGGACGACUUAAGAUCGCCUGGAUGUAAUCCGCGUGAGUUCGAAUCUCACAGUUGCCA